rnacentral:rRNA from 1 species
AUUGAACGCUGGCGGCAGGCCUAACACAUGCAAGUCGAGCGGAAACGGCAACAUUGAAUCUUCGGAGGAUUUGUUGGGCGUCGAGCGGCGGACGGGUGAGUAAUGCCUAGGAAAUUGCCUUGAUGGUGGGGGAUAACCAUUGGAAACGACUGCUAAUACCGCAUAACGUCUACGGACCAAAGGGGGGGAUCUUCGGACCUUUCGCCAUUUGAUUAGCCCAAGUGAGAUUAGCUAGUAGGUGAGGUAAGAGCUCACCUAGGCGACGAUCUCUAGCUGGUUUGAGAGGAUGAUCAGCCACACUGGGACUGAGACACGGCCCAG